GGUGGCUUAGUGGUUAGAGCGUCCGCCUCGGAUGAGGGAGGUCAUGGGUGCGGUCCCCGGCCUAAUCA